rnacentral:lncRNA from 10 species
UGCAGUGGCACAAUCUCCGCUCACUGCAACCUCUGCCUCCGGGGUCCACCGAGGCUGCUGGGUCAGGACAUUUGUUGAAAACCCAAGGCCCCAGGCACCAUGCUGGCAGAGCGGGGAUUAGGUAGGGAGAAGAGGAAGUCUCUGCUCUGGGGAGCUGCUGUUGUUUUGAGUGAGGAGGAUGUUAAACCAGGGAACACGUAACGAAGCAAGAUGGUUUUAGAGUCGUUCAUCCACCAUGAGAAACAAAACGGGUUGAGUGAAGAGCGGCUCCGGGAAGGACCCUGUGGAGUGGGAAGCAGCCCCGCAGUGGGAGCUCUCUGGGUGGGCAUUGCGGGCAGAGGGAACAGC